CUCUUCCUUGGUGUCAAGCCUGCUGCCAUCAGACUGGAACUAAACCAUCAGCUCUCAUGGGACUCCAUCUUGCUGACUUACCCUGCAGAUCUUGGGAUUUAACCACCUCCAUAAUCAUAAGCAACUAUUACCAUACUAUGAAGUAGCACAAGGCCUUCACCAGAUGCAGUCACCCAAUCUUGGACCAUCCAGCCCCGAGAACCAUAAGCUAAAUAAACCUCUUUCCUAGGUAAA